GCCUUUAUAGCUCAGGGGUAGAGCACUUCCUUGGUAAGGAAGAGGUCAGGGGUUCAAAUCCCCUUAAAGGCUCAA
rnacentral:tRNA from 1 species